UGGGGAAUAUUGCACAAUGGGGGAAACCCUGAUGCAGCGACGCCGCGUGAGUGAAGAAGUAUUUCGGUAUGUAAAGCUCUAUCAGCAGGGAAGAAAAUGACGGUACCUGACUAAGAAGCCCCGGCUAACUACGUGCCAGCAGCCGCGGUAAUACGUAGGGGGCAAGCGUUAUCCGGAUUUACUGGGUGUAAAGGGAGCGUAGACGGCAGUGCAAGCCUGGAGUGAAAGGAUGGGGCCCAACCCCAUGACUGCUCUGGGAACUGUACAGCUAGAGUGCCGGAGGGGUAAGCGGAAUUCCUAGUGUAGCGGUGAAAUGCGUAGAUAUUAGGAGGAACACCAGUGGCGAAGGCGGCUUACUGGACGGUAACUGACGUUGAGGCUCGAAAGCGUGGGGAGCAAACAGG
rnacentral:rRNA from 1 species